GGUUCGUUAGUGUAACGGCUAACAUUUCUGAUUGUCUAUCAGAAGCUAUGAGUUCGAUUCUCAUACGAACCG
rnacentral:tRNA from 1 species